GGUGGCUCAGUGGUAGAGUAUGCUUGCCUUGCAUGCAUGAGGCUCUGGGUUCGAUUCCCCAGCACCA
rnacentral:tRNA from 1 species